UUCUUUCUCACAGUUCCAGGGGCUGAAAGUCCAAGAUCAGGAUGCCAGCAUGGUUGAGUGAGGACCUUCUUCUGGGUGACAGACUUCUCCUUGUAUCCUCACAUUGCAGCUCUGACAGCCCUCUUUUGUAAGAACAUGAACCCCAUUCAUGAGGGCUCUACUCUCAUGACCUAGUUAUCUCCCCAAGACUUCACCUCCUAAUAUCUUCACCUUGGGAGUUCCAACAAAGGAAUUUUGAAGGGAUACAACCAUUUCUAUUACAGCACUACCUAUUUAAUAUUUGCUCUUAUGAAGCCAAGAUUGCUUACACGAGUAAAUCCUUCAAUAAUCUAUUCUGUGCGUGCCCUUCAUAAUUGCAUUUAAUCCUGCUCCCAGGUUUGCUUCUUGCUGAGUGAGCAUGGCCAGGAAGGAGGAGAUGCCAACUCCAAGAUGGAAGACCAGGAAUGCCACAGGGGCCAUGUGUGGGGUUGGCCUGUACACUGGAGCAGGUUUUGAUCACCACUGAUGGUAGCAUGUUAAAAUCAGGAGCUCCCCUCUUCCAGCUGUCUGAAAAGAAUCAAAAGUAGAGAGAAGGAAUUUUCAGCAGGAAGAACAGGAAAGCAGUUUAUAGGGGUCUUUGAGCCAGCCAUUUGAAUUGAAGUUGAGGACCCUGGAGUGGGGAAAAAUGGAAAUGAAGAGACAAGUGAGAGAUAAGCAGAGCAGGAAUUCACAGGUGAGGAGCCAUAUUAGGUAUCAGGUUCAAAGCAUCUGAAAAUGCCUGGUAUAUUUUGAGCUCUGAACUGAGAUGGUGAAGUUUAAUAGCAAGAUAAUAUAUUAAUUCAAG
rnacentral:lncRNA from 1 species